GGAGAACCGCGGCUUUAGUAAAGAAGGGGCGGGGAAAACGGGGCCGAAAGCGGCCGGCGGUGGGGAGUGGCGUUUGCCCGGGCCGCACACUUCCCCUCGAAUUCGGUGCUUCCCCAAGCCUCUCGCGGUAACGAAGACGAAGCACGCCCAUUUUACAGAUGAGGAAACCCACGCUCCGCGAAAUCAUCACUCUGCCCUUUAGCGACCAAACCAUCAUUUGCACCUCAAGGCUCUCUCAUCUGCAUCCUCCCUAAGCCCGCCCCCCGCAAGCGCCCCCUUUCUCGAGCCUCGGUUUCCUCCCUUGUAAAAUGAGGGGCUGGACUUUGAAUUCUAAGGACCUCUGGCCUUUAACACUUGACCGGGGCGCGGGGCGGUCAGAGAACGGAGAGCUGUUUUGAAGCUUCCUGGGUGCAACUCUCUGAGGGAACUGCCCUGGACCCGGGAAGAGCCCAGCUCUAGAGACAGACAGGACUGGUUUCAGAAGCCCUGUCAACUUCUCAUCCUGGUUCCUGGUCUUUCUCCGGUACCAGAGUUACUACGAGUACCCGCUGCUGACUUACCUGGAGUACCCCAUCCUCUUGACACAAGAUCUCGUCCUCCUGCUGUGCAUCUUCCACUUCAGCGGGCAUGUGGAGCGGGCUGCGUUCUACAUCGCCCUCUUUGUGUCUGCUUGGUUCGUCCUCAGCCUGCGGAAGUGGAUCAUGGAUCUGGCCAUGAACUUCUGUACAUUCAUCAGCGCAGCCAGUAAGUUUGCGCAGCUCCAGUACCUAUGGAAGACCAGGGACUCGGGAGCCGUGAGUGCCCUGACGUGGAGCCUCGCUUCGUACAGCUGCGCAGUAAGAAUAAUAACGACGCUAAUGACCACCAAUGAUCUUACAAUUCUUACGCGUUUUGUGGUCACGCUGGCUUUAAAUAUAUGGGUAACAGCUACAAUCCUUCGCUACCGGAAGACUGCUGUCAAGGCUGAGUGAUGGACACGGAAUAGUCCUACAGAGUGGAUUUUGAGUAACUGAACCAAAGGCAAAAAGCUCAUUGCUAAACCAGGUCUUUUAUAAAUUCAGCCAGCCGUGCCAAAGGUAUUUUAGACUUGAAAGAGCCCACUUACACCCUUGUCUAAACAUGCCAAUUUUUAACCCCCCCCCCCCCACCACCUCAGUAGGUUAAAGUAGGCUCAGAGUAUCUGCAGUUUUGAGAAGGCUGGUGGUAGCUGGUCUUGCAGGAGCCCCAUUUCGAGGCGACAGCUUUGACCCUUAUCACUCAAGUCACAGUUCUCUCCAAAAAACUACAUACAUCUACUUUGCAGCAUUCGGAAUCUUGUAGGAAAUAAACCCCCUCCACAACCCAAAUGAGCAUGAAUAGGAGUUUGCUCAGUGUGGGACUGUGAUAAGUGACCAGGGUUUGCUUCCCGGGACUAAUGUUUAACUGCCCUAUAGAUGUAACAGGACGGCCUUGUUGGAUGUUACUGCAUGAUAGCUCCUUAAGCUAUAGCAAGGACGUCAAGACCAGCAAAAAUGUAACUGGCUUGAGUUCAUGUACCAAAGCACGUCUUCAACUUCACACUGUGCCUUUAAAUGAUGCCUAACAAAAGGUGCCUGCAGUCUCUGCUUGUGAUGAGGUGACCCCACUAUACUGACGCCAGCACCAGGUUUAUGCUGCCGUUUUUAAAAGGACCACACCUACACAGUUACUGUUAUUAGAAUUUGGCACAAAAUACAGCUGGCCUCCACCAGGCUUUGCCUAUUGAAAAUAUAUGCAGUAAAGGGUAUUGCUGAGUUCUGACAAGUUCGUAUGGAUUUUAUUCUCAUUAUAGUAUCACAGUCUAAACAUGAUAAAAUUAUUGUAAGAUUUCUUACAUUUUUCCUGUAAAAAAGCUUAUAAACCCUAACACUGAAAACUCUGGUUCCCCUAAUAAUUGAAUGGCAUUAUUUUAUUAUAUGCAGUAAGUGGUUUAUUAGAAAAUAUUUUAGUUUCUUGUGUACAAUAAACUAUCAUAUUUUGAACUCUG